rnacentral:misc_RNA from 1 species
CGCCCUGUACAGCCCGCAAGGC